rnacentral:misc_RNA from 1 species
CAACCCUCGAGCUCGUCUUCAUUGACGAGAUCGGUGUUGGGACCCGGCGAUCGGGGACUUUAGUUCCUCUGCCGGUCCUGAAAUUCAGUGGCGGCCCGUUGCGGCGACCUCUGCGUAGUAACUUAACCUCGCACUGGGACAGCAGCGCGGCCACGCCGUAAAACCCCCGACUUUUUUAA